rnacentral:rRNA from 1 species
GACGUAGGGGGCGAGCGUUAUUCGGAAUCAUUGGGCGUAAAGCGUGCGCAGGCGGUUGUGCCAGACAGAUGUGAAAUCCCCGGGCUUAACCUGGGAACUGCAUUUGUGACUGCACGGCUAGAGUGUGUCAGAGGGGGGUAGAAUUCCACGUGUAGCAGUGAAAUGCGUAGAGAUGUGGAGGAAUACCGAUGGCGAAGGCAGACCCCUGGGAUAACACUGACGCUCAUGCACGAAAGCGUGGGGAGAAAACGGG